CGGGUUGCAGCAGUGGGGAAUUUUGGACAAUGGGCGCAAGCCUGAUCCAGCAAUGCCGCGUGCAGGAUGAAGGCCUUCGGGUUGUAAACUGCUUUUGUACGGAACGAAACGGUUCGCCUUAAUACGGUGGGCUAAUGACGGUACCGUAAGAAUAAGCACCGGCUAACUACGUGCCAGCAGCCGCGGUAAUACGUAGGGUGCGAGCGUUAAUCGGAAUUACUGGGCGUAAAGCGUGCGCAGGCGGUUAUAUAAGACAGAUGUGAAAUCCCCGGGCUCAACCUGGGACCUGCAUUUGUGACUGUAUAGCUAGAGUACGGUAGAGGGGGAUGGAAUUCCGCGUGUAGCAGUGAAAUGCGUAGAUAUGCGGAGGAACACCGAUGGCGAAGGCAAUCCCCUGGACCUGUACUGACGCUCAUGCACGAAAGCGUGGGGAGCAAACAGGAUUAGAUACCCGCGU
rnacentral:rRNA from 1 species